UUAAAAAGCAAGAUCAGUCAACUAAAGAAAUGACAAAUUAACAAAAUGGCAUUCACCACUGUCCACUAUAAAUAAAAAUGGACAACAGAUCAUCAAAAUAAAUACAACAACUCACAAUGUCCCAGGAGUAGACAUCCAUAUAAAAAUUAAACAGGCAACUGCUGUUGACAGCGGACACAAAAUGAAA